GUCAUAAAAGAUGAGUUCAGAAAUUGACCGUUUUCCAACACGAAUUUCCUUCGACGAAAUUAAAUGUUAUUAGUAACAAAUCCUAUUUUAGAUCAGUCUUAUAGAUCGUCUGUCGUAGACGUUCGCAAAGUUUGGAAGGGAUUGUUAGGACGGAACAAAAUUUGGAUAGAAUUGACAGUUAACGGAAAGAUUGAGUCAAAAUGUUAAGACUCCCGGUGAUAAAACUACCAACAGGAUUACAAAAUGGUAGACUUUUUGCCAUGGGAUUACAUACAUCCUGUAAAUUACAACAAGAAUUAGUAGAGGUAUUUAUAGAUGAUAAGCCAGUUCAGGUUCCACCUGGGACAACUGUUUUGCAGGCAGCUGCUAAAGUAGGAGUAGAGAUUCCCAGAUUUUGUUAUCAUGAACGUCUAGCAGUAGCAGGAAAUUGCAGAAUGUGUCUUGUGGAAAUUGAAAAACAAGUUAAGCCUGUUGCAGCUUGUGCAAUGCCUGUGAUGAAAGGAUGGAGAGUAAAAACAAAUUCUGAUUUAACACGUAAAGCUCGUGAAGGAGUUAUGGAAUUUUUAUUAGUUAAUCAUCCUUUAGAUUGUCCAAUUUGUGAUCAAGGUGGUGAAUGUGAUUUACAAGAUCAAAGUAUGGCAUUUGGUAGUGAUAGGAGCAGAUUCAUUGAUAUUAAUUAUAGCGGUAAAAGAGCAGUAGAGGACAAGGAUAUUGGACCUCUAAUAAAAACAGUUAUGACACGUUGCAUCCACUGUACAAGAUGUAUUCGUUUUGCCUCCGAAGUAGCGGGUAUCGAUGAUCUAGGAACUACUGGUCGUGGAAACGACAUGCAAGUGGGAACAUAUGUAGAGAAGAUGUUUCUCUCAGAAUUAUCUGGUAACAUAAUUGACUUGUGUCCUGUUGGUGCAUUAACCAGUAAACCAUAUGCUUUCGUUGCUCGCCCAUGGGAAACACGUCGUACAGAUAGUAUUGAUGUUCUUGAUGCUAUUGGUAGUAAUAUAGUAGUAACGCAUAGAACGGGUGAAGUUUUAAGAAUUUUACCGAGAGUUAACGAGGAAAUAAAUGAAGAAUGGCUGUCAGAUAAAGCUCGUUUCUCUUAUGAUGGACUGAAACGUCAGAGACUCAUAACUCCAAUGAUGAAAAUCAAUGGAAAAUUGGAAGCUGUUAAUUGGGAAGAUGCUCUCGUAACGGUUGCUCAAGCUGUUCAGGACGUACCGUUGAAUAAAUGUGCCGCGAUUGCUGGGAAAUUAGCUGAUGCUGAAGCACUUGUGGCAUUGAAAGAUUUAGUAAAUAGACUUGGUGGUGAAACUCUUGCAACGGAACAAAGUCUUCCGAAAAACAUUGUAGAUAUAAGAACUAAUUAUUUAUUAAAUAAUUCCAUUGCUGCUAUAGAAGAGGCUGAUGUCGUAUUAUUGAUCGGUACAAAUCCAAGAUACGAAGCACCAUUGGUGAAUACGCGUUUGCGGAAAGGAUAUAUUCAUGGUGAACAGACUAUUGCUCUAAUUGGUCCGGACGUAGAUCUAACAUAUGAUCAUGAACAUUUAGGUCAGUCUCCAGAAAUUAUAACACAAUUAAGGAAUGGUAGUCAUGCGUUUUCGAAUAUUCUGAAAAGUGCUAAGAAACCUCUAAUUAUCUUGGGCAUCGAGCAAUUAACCAGAAAAGACGGGGCAAAAAUUUUGUGUGAAACACAAUUAUUGGCACAGUCUUUAGAAGAUAAAUCGAAGACUUCUGAAGGAUGGAACGUAUUAAAUGUACUUCAUACGAAUGCGUCGCAAGUAGCUGCUUUGGAUUUGGGUUAUUCGUCAUCCGUUGACGAAGUUAAGCAACAACAGCCAAAGGUUUUAUUUUUACUUGGAGCUGACGAUGCAAAUAUAAAAAAAGAAGACUUUCCCAAUACCGUUAUUGUAUACAUAGGUAGUCACGGUGAUGAGGGAGCUGCGAUGGCCGAUGUUAUACUUCCUGGAGCUGCGUACACCGAAAAAGUUGCAACAUAUGUAAACACUGAAGGACGUCCUCAACAAACUUGUGCUGCAAAUACACCGCCAGGUAUGGCGCGUCCAGAAUGGAAGAUUAUACGAGCUCUUUCAGAAAUAUGUGGAAUUUGUUUGCCUUAUGACACUUUGAACGAAGUAAGGUCCAGGUUGGAGGAAAUAGCACCACAUUUAAUUAGGUAUGGUAGCAUAGAACCGACCAAUUAUUCUGUCGAAGCAUUGGAGUUAUUAAAGGAAACGAAUGGUUCGUUGUCAUCGAAUCCAUUAGAAAUUAAACAGAAAACGUUAGAUCAAUUUUUUAUGACGGACGUAAUAUCUCGAGCCUCACUUACUAUGGCAAAGUGUGUGCAAGCAGUUCUGAAACAACGGGAAAGUUCUUCGUAAAAAAAAUUAAUCACCAACGUAUGAGAUACUAUGGUAGAUACAUAAUAGGAUAUGAGAAUGCACCGCAACUAUACUGCUUUAAUUACAGUGUGUUUCAGUUACCUAGGAGGACUACUUGGGGCCAUUACUCCUGCUAGGAAUUCUUGAUUGCUAGCAUUUCCUCUAAUAACUUCAGCUACCGUAUUAAUCGUUUCUGUGAGCACAUCAGCAGGUCCACUAGGUGCUACUAAUGCUCGAAUCACUUGUACCAUACAGUGAACAUUUGACACUUUUUGUGGACUCCAUGCACCAAGAGGAUUGUCAUCAAUUUCAG